rnacentral:lncRNA from 1 species
CCUUUUCUUAUCCAGCACCACAGUUUGGUGGAUAAAAGUUCUUGAGGCUGGGAAGUCCAAGAUCAAGGCGGCAGCAGAUCUGGAAUCUGACCAAGAUGAAUUCUACUUCUCAGACCCUCAAGCUCUCAAGGAUAAUGUCACUACAAGAUAUACUGAAGCUCACAGCUGAAAAUCAUCAUAGAACACUGCAGCGAGAAUCCAAUCAGCUUUAGGUAGAGGACAACACUGUGAGGACUGAAACGCAGCACGGAAGGUUGAAAAAGCCACGAAGCCUUGGAAUUAGACCUGGAUUGGAAGCCUCACUCUUUCACCCAGUGUCUACUCCCAUCUUAAAGAUUUUUUUGUUUGUUUCAAACUCUACCCAAAUCUUUGAUACCUUAAAAUCUUGUUCAUUGUGCUGGAUGCUGCUACUCCAACACUGAUUCAUGAACACCUGUGUCAAGUUCUGUCUGUUCCUCCUGACAUGGGCAGGAAUCUGUUUGGCAUCCCUCUGAAUUUGUGAUGCUUUUGAUCACUUUCCAUCCAAGUGUAGAGCUUAGAUAAAGAAGUAUAGAAACCCUGAGAAAUUGGCAGAGAUGAUCACUCCAUAUGUAAACACCAUUAGAGAGAAAGG